AAUCGACAAAAUACGGUAUUCUGAAAACACCGGUUCUCAUCUGAACCCUGAAGUUAAGCAGCAUCAGGUCUGGUUAGUACUUGGAUGGGUAACCACCUGGGAAUCCCAGGUGCUGUUCGCAUU
rnacentral:rRNA from 1 species